rnacentral:tRNA from 2 species
GCCGGGAUAGCUCAGUUGGUAGAGCAGAGGACUGAAAAUCCUCGUGUCACAG